rnacentral:rRNA from 1 species
AUACGGAGGGUGCAAGCGUUACUCGGAAUCACUGGGCGUAAAGCGCGCGCAGGCGGUCUUUUAAGUUGGAUGUGAAAGCCUACGGCUCAACCGUAGAACUGCAUCCAAAACUAUUAGACUAGAGUGUGGGAGAGGAAGAUGGAAUUAGUUGUGUAGGGGUAAAAUCUGUAGAGAUAACUAGGAAUACCAAAAGCGAAGGCAAUCUUCUGGAACACUACUGACGCUGAGGCGCGAAAGCGUGGGGAGCAAACAGGAUUAGAAACCCUAGUAGUCC